rnacentral:rRNA from 1 species
AGUGAACGCUGGCGGUAGGCCUAACAUAUGCAAGUCGAACGGCAGCACAGUAAGAGCUUGCUCUUACGGGUGGCGAGUGGCGGACGGGUGAGGAAUACAUCGGAAUCUACUUUUUCGUGGGGGAUAACGUAGGGAAACUUACGCUAAUACCGCAUACGACCUACGGGUGAAAGCAGGGGAUCUUCGGACCUUGCGCGAUUGAAUGAGCCGAUGUCGGAUUAGCUAGUUGGCGGGGUAAAGGCCCACCAAGGCGACGAUCCGUAGCGGGUCUGAGAGGAUGAUCAGCCACACUGGAACUGAGACACGGUCCAGACUCCUACGGGAGGCAGCAGUGGGGAAUAUUGGACAAUGGGCGCAAGCCUGAUCCAGCCAUACCGCGUGGGUGAAGAAGGCCUUCGGGUUGUAAAGCCCUUUUGUUGGGAAAGAAAAGCAGCAGGUUAAUACCCCGCUGUUCUGACGGUACCCAAAGAAUAAGCACCGGCUAACUUCGUG